UCACCAAGUAACACAGUGUACGAAAGCUGAACUACCGACAUCUCAACAACUGCCGGCAAGACAAAGAACAGAGUCAAUGCAAAGGAAAAAUUAUUAUGCAUGCUUAGUGAGAUAGAGUAAUUUUUUUUUGGCAAGAAUAAAUGACCGACAAAUAAAUACUCACCUAACCAACCGCAAGGAAUGUUAAGCCGAAAAUAACAGAGAGGGCAUUUUCUUUAAUCAUC
rnacentral:lncRNA from 1 species